rnacentral:rRNA from 1 species
UACAGAGGGUGCGAGCGUUGUCCGGAAUCACUGGGCGUAAAGGGCGCGUAGGUGGCGCCGCAAGUCCAUGGUGAAAGCUCGAUGCUCAACAUCGAGUCGGCCACGGAGACUGCGGGGCUCGAGCACUGUAGGGGCAGAUGGAAUUCCGGGUGUAGCGGUGGAAUGCGUAGAGAUCCGGAAGAACACGGUGGCGAAGGCGGCAUCCUGGACCGGCAUUGACGCGUGAGG